GCAAACUUGGUCAUUUAGAGGAAGUAAAAGUCGUAACAAGGUUUCCGUAGGUGAACCUGCGGAAGGAUCAUUCAUAAUAGAGUGUUUUUAUGGCGCUCUAAAAAAAUCCCAUAUCCACCUUGUGUGCAAUGUUGUUCACUCUCUCUGUUUGCGAAAGCAAGAAGGAGAGUGGAAUUUUUAUAUCAAACACCUUUAUAAAAAAUAUUUAUUUGUCUGAAAUCUGUUUACGAAUUUACUUAAUUCAAAACACAACUUUCAACAACGGAUCUCUUGGCUCUCGCAUCGAUGAAGAACGCAGC
rnacentral:misc_RNA from 1 species